UGACUGUAAGUGAAAUUGAAUCAGUAUGAUCGUACCUAAUGAAACCCGUCUUUGGCCUGUGGCUGAGACGCCAUCUGUAGGCGGUGAAAUCUUUCCAGCCUAUGUGACGAGGGUCAUGCCACAGGGUGCGCACCUGAAGGAAAAGGAAAGGUUGAAACACAGCUCCUUCAGGGCUUUGCUUCUUACCUGGCCAGGGGUGUUUCCUGUGUGCCACAGGGCAUUCCGCAGGUGCUCGCCAGGCCCUGUGGUGGAGUUUACAACUUUCACAGAAAGGC
rnacentral:antisense_RNA from 1 species